rnacentral:rRNA from 1 species
UCGAAGCCUACAAAGCACGACCGCGAAUACGUUUCAAAUGGGGGCAUCGAUGGGAAGCUCUCGAGCAACCCGUUGUUUUCCCCCUCGAAUGGCGAGGGGCCUUGUGCUGCUCUCCAUUCGACACUAACGAACCCCGGCGCGGCAAGCGCCAAGUAAUAGAAACGAAAGAACUUGUCACUCUGUCCGUUCUCGGAUCAUGAGGGGCAUGCGUCUGUUCAAAUAUAANNNNNNNNNNNNNGUCAUAACGACUCUCGGCAACGGAUAUCUCGGCUCUCGCAUCGAUGAAGAACGUAGCGAAAUGCGAUACUUGGUGUGAAUUGCAGAAUCCCGUGAAUCAUCGAGUCUUUGAACGCAAGUUGCGCCCGAAGCCUUUAGGCCGAGGGCACGUCUGCCUGGGCGUCAUGCACUGCGAUGCCCCCAUCCAAGCGAUGGGAGCGAAGCAUGGCCUCCCGUGAGCCCCCCUUGCGGAUGGCCUAAAAGCGAGCCUUGAGACGGUUGCCGUCGCGACAAGUGGUGGUUUCAAGGCCUUUGGCUUUUGAUCUUUUGCGCGUCGCGACCUUCCCCUCGUAGCUCUUAAGUAACCCCAAAGGAGCGUUUUUACGCUGCCAGCAUCG